UACGGGGGGGGCAAGCGUUGUUCGGAAUUACUGGGCGUAAAGGGUUCGUAGGUGGCCAACUAAGUCAGACGUGAAAUCCCUCAGCUUAACUGGGGAACUGCGUCUGAUACUGGUUGGCUUGAGUGCAGGAGAGGAACGCGGAAUUCCAGGUGUAGCGGUGAAAUGCGUAGAUAUCCGGAGGAACACCAGCGGCGAAGGCGGCGUCCUGGACUGGUACUGACGCUGAGGCGCGAAAGCCAGGGGAGCAAACGGG
rnacentral:rRNA from 1 species